GUGGGGAAUUUUGGACAAUGGGGGCAACCCUGAUCCAGCCAUGCCGCGUGCAGGAUGAAGGUCUUCGGAUUGUAAACUGCUUUUGUCAGGGACGAAAAGGACUGUGUUAAUACCAUAGUCUGCUGACGGUACCUGAAGAAUAAGCACCGGCUAACUACGUGCCAGCAGCCGCGGUAAUACGUAGGGUGCAAGCGUUAAUCGGAAUUACUGGGCGUAAAGCGUGCGCAGGCGGUUCUGUAAGACAGAUGUGAAAUCCCCGGGCUUAACCUGGGAAUUGCAUUUGUGACUGCAGGACUAGAGUUCAUCAGAGGGGGGUGGAAUUCCAAGUGUAGCAGUGAAAUGCGUAGAUAUUUGGAAGAACACCAAUGGCGAAGGCAGCCCCCUGGGAUGCGACUGACGCUCAUGCACGAAAGCGUGGGGAGCAAACAGGAUUAGAAACCCUAGUAGUCC
rnacentral:rRNA from 1 species